rnacentral:RNase_P_RNA from 1 species
UCAGUCGGUCGGGCAGCCGCGCUUGUCAUAUGUCGAAAGACGGCAAGUGAGGAAAGUCCGGGCUCCAUGGAAACACGGUGCCGGGUAACACCCGGCGAGGGUAACCUCAGGGAUAGUGCCACAGAAAGCAAACCGCCCCGUCUCCGGUUGUGUCGUAACGGACAUAAGCGGUGACGGGGUAAGGGUGAAAGGGUGGGGUAAGAGCCCACCGCAUUGCUGGUAACAGGAAUGGCAAGGUAAACCCCACCGGGAGCAAGACCGAAUAGGGACGGCGCGUUGUUUCGUAAGAAACAGCAAUCAGUUUCCGGAUAGCCGUCCGGGUGGGUUGCACGAGGCGGGUGGCGACAUCCGUCCCAGAUGAAUGGCUGCCACGUUGAGCUUUUGCUCAGCCAUACAGAACCCGGCUUACAGACCGACUGACAUU